CCGAGUUUACAGCUCCCAAACCCCUGUGAACAUACCUACAACGUUGCCUCGGCGGCCCCCCGCCUCCCCGUAAGACGGGAGCGGCCCGCCAGAGGACCCAACAAACUCUGUUAUUUUCAGUAUCUUCUGAGUACAAACACAAUCAAUUA
rnacentral:misc_RNA from 1 species